rnacentral:rRNA from 1 species
GCACUGUUUCGGCUAGGGGGCCAUCCCGGCUUACCAACCCGAUGCAAACUGCGAAUACCGGAGAAUGUUAUCACGGGAGACACACGGCGGGUGCUAACGUCCGUCGUGAAGAGGGAAACAACCCAGACCGCCAGCUAAGGUCCCAAAGUCAUGGUUAAGUGGGAAACGAUGUGGGAAGGCCCAGACAGCCAGGAUGUUGGCUUAGAAGCAGCCAUCAUUUAAAGAAAGCGUAAUAGCUCACUGGUCGAGUCGGCCUGCGCGGAAGAUGUAACGGGGCUAAACCAUGCACCGAAGC